UGGUUCAGUUUCCUGCUGUGUCAAAGAAAUAGGCACCGAGCUAAAAAUAGAGAGGAUACGCCUUUUUGCAGAGCAACAGCAAUUAGAUUAGUGAUAUUUACACUAAUCCAGCUGGCUUCUCUGUGAGCCAGCAAACCUGCAGUGACCACAGCAACGUCGUCCCAACAGCGUAGUGACGACGAGAGAGAGCUUGUUUUGGUGGAACAACGGCGCUCAGGAGCUGUUCUCCCUCCCUCCUCACCUGUGAUCUCCAGGUGCAUGGAGCUGUCCAUGGGCAGCGGCAGCGACAGGAAGUUGAAGGGGUCGAAGCGAGCGCUGAUGUGUCCGCAGGUCUUGCACUUCACCUGAGACUUGAGCUGACCGUGGAACAGAUCCACCACGAUGGAGCGGUUCCUGCGCAGGACAAACACAAAACAAACAGAACAUCAACGCAGCAGUGACCUUAAGACUCUGCAAACUGGACUGAUAAAGUAAUUUCUUGUGAUAACUGACCUCAGAAGCCACCUCCCAGUCCGGCCGGCCGUCACUGUCCUUCAGCUCCACGUACGGCUUCUCGUGGACUCGGUUCAGGUCUUCGUGCAGACCGUCAAGCAGGAAGGCCAGCAGCUCCUGGGAGUCCUGCUGCUGGAAGCCGUUAAAGCGGGGGGCGUACUUUGCUAUCGUCCACUGGAGAGGAGGAAACGACAUCGUAAGAUUCAAUGGAGGCAAACUGGGAGUUUUGACGCCUCUUUAUGAGCUUUAAACGUGAUUAUUUAAAGGUUGUUAUUUUAAAUGUCGCUCCGGUGAAUCUUUAAAGUAACAUCAGCCCUCUGUGGGUUAAUUCUUCUUCUUCAUGGAGCUAUAAAUGUUUGAGGACCGUGCUCACCCUGAGCUUCAGCGGAGCCACGUUCUUCUGCGUCCCGCUCCACAGCUCCAUCACCAGGUCGCCGUAACACUUGGCCAUGUGACCUCGCAUCCCGAUGGGGUUGGUUCUGUAAACACACACACACAAACACACACGUUAUAACUACACGUUCAGAACAAACAUCAGAGGAUUCAUACUGCAGUGCUGAGCAGUCAAACCCUCACCUGUUGAGCUCGUACAGGUGUCUCCCAGAGAUGAAGUAGUCGGUGAGAGGCUUGGUGUUGCUCACACACUGGAUGCUGGAGUUCAUGAAGCAUGUGUUGCCGAGGUUACUGAGGCCUGUGGCUCCCUUCUCUGUGGGAACUGGAGUGGAAAGAGAGGAUGUUGUGAUCAGACUCAAGGUAAAAGAAAUAUCUGUGACCUGAGUAUCUUUCACACGGCUGCACAAACAUUUAUUUUCUCAUUUAACUGACUAUUUCUUUAAUCCAAACAUAGUGAACAUCUCAAUCUGUGUUUUCUCUAUCCAUCCUCCAUUCCUUACUUUGUUCUCAUUGCUGAAAUAUUCAGAUCAAAGUCUUAAGAAGUCUUCUUAUAAAUGAUUUAAGUGUAUGUUUUUAAAAUUAGUUGGAGUAAUUGUUGCAGCAUUAAACUUUUACACCUACAGGUAUUAAAAAUCGGAUCAGUGGAGGGACAGUUUUUUCCUUAAAGGAACAGUACGAAUAUGUUUUGAACCAAACGACAGCCGUGUUUUCUCACAUAUGCAGCAAACAACAUCAGAUCAGCUGUUACGGUCAGCGGUUCACAGAGGAGACAAACAAUAAUAUGGAAAAUAUGUGAAGAUAUCCCAAAAUGUUUCAAACACUUGAACUGAAAUGUUGCAGAAUAUAAAGAAUUUUUAACUGAUGCAUCCCCACCUCAAAACAAACCAACUGUCCCUUUAGGGCCAGUUUCCACUGACGGCUUCUUCUGCAUAAGUUCAAUUCCGUCUGCUUAAUUCUUCUGCAUGAUUAAUAUUUGAUUUUAUUCCAGGAAAUCUUACAAAGAUAGCUAAAAAAAACAACGGAAGGGAAUCACGUCCUGGCAUCAGUAGCAUUAGUUUCACCUCAAGCAUUUUUUUUUUUUAAAGUUGAUACUGUAAGCCCCGCCCCUUUCUGAUUUUGAUUGGUUGAGUGAAAAGUGACAUUGAUGAGUUUGUUUUAUAGCUUUUCUAUUUUCUGCAGAGAGCAACAAACAGCUGAUGCUAAGAGUGUUUGGUUGUUUGGUGGUGAAGACACUCAAAAAUGAUGCAAGUGCAAAAAACACUGAGUGGACACAGGCCCUUAAACUGCAAGAAAACCACCUAAACCUUUUUACGGCAGUGUCUUGUUUGCACACUUCAGUCAUUUCUUUUUCUGAAUGUUUAUUUCCUUUAAGCAACAAUAAAAUUUACACAACCUUUUCUUUCAUUGCAUCAUUAAUUUGUGAAGCUGUUUCAGGUAUUAGUCGAGUAAUUGGGGUAAAACUGUGGAUUUUUGAAGCACGGUGGUUUUGGUAAACGUGUAAAUUGCCCUUUAAAGUGGUGAUUAUAAGGAGCCAAUAAACUCCAUUGCACUUUAACAACAGACAGGUAGCUGGGCAUUAACUCUUAUGUAAGGGAGCGCAAUUAUCCACCAAUCAGAACUAACUUCCUCCUGCUCCUCAGAGAACAAACAGGCUUAAUGAGCCAGCUUACCUUUGUGUCUAUCCAUCUUACUACUGUUGGCAA